rnacentral:rRNA from 1 species
CUGAACGCUGGCGGCGUGGCUAAGACAUGCAAGUCGUACGGAUGUAGCAAUACAUCAGUGGCGAACGGGUGAGUAAUGUAUCGCUAAUGUGCCCUGGAAUCUGGGAUAGCUAUCCGAAAGGGUAGGUAAUACCAGAUGAUAUAACUUUGUCGCAUGGCAGAGUUCUCAAAGGAGUAAUCCGCUCUGGGAGCAGGCGAUAUCGUAUCAGCUAGUUGGUGAGGUAACGGCUCACCAAGGCGACGACGCGUAGCCGGACUGAGAGGUUGGCCGGCCACAUUGGGACUGAGACACUGCCCAGACUCCUACGGGGGGCUGCAGUAACGAAUCUUCCGCAAUGCACGAAAGUGUGACGGAGCGACGCCGCGUGUGGGACGAAGCCCUUCGGGGUGUAAACCACUGUCAGGGGUUAGAAAGUUCUGAUCAACCCCAGAGGAAGGCACGGCUAACUCUGUGCCAGCAGCCGCGGUAAGACAGAGGUGCCAAGCGUUAGGCGGAAUCACUGGGCUUAAAGCGUGUGUAGGCGGACUUCUAAGUACCUUGUGAAAUCCCACGGCUCAACCGUGGAACUGCUGGGUAUACUGGGA